AGUCUUAAGCAGCCCAGACCAGUCUGGAACUCUGCACAUGGUUGGGUAUGACCUUGAGCUUCUGAUCUUCCCACUCCCACCUCGCCAAUGCUGGGACUACAGGCAAGCGUCAGAGCACCUGGCCACAAAGUCAGAUGCGAUGGCUCCUCGCUCAGCUCAGCCCUUGGGAACAGUGCUCUGAGUUUACAUCCAGGACUGUGGUACUAGGUGAAACCUUCAAAGAGGUACUGCACGCUUAUAGCGUACAUUCUCACACAUAAACAGAAGAAUGAAAAGAAAUGGAUUCGGGCGGGCAUGGUGGUGCACAUUUUUAAUCCCAGCAUGCGGAACACAGAGCCAGGAGGAUCUCUGCGAGUUCAAGCCAGCCUGGUCUACAGAGGAAGUUCCAGGACUAGAGAGAGAGAGAGACAGAGACAGAGAUACA